UAACUCUGGGCUUUCUUCAUUAACGCUUAAAUCUUUCGCCUUUUACUAAAGAUUUCCGUGGAGAAGGCCGUUUAAUGAGUGUAUAAUAAUUUUUCCUCUGGCUCGCUAACGCGAGCCC